rnacentral:lncRNA from 14 species
GAAUUCAAGGCCCAUACCUAAACAUAGUAAAAGCCAUAUACAGCAAACCAGUUGCUAACAUUAAACUAAAUGGAGAGAAACUUGAAGCAAUCCCACUAAAAUCAGGGACUAGACAAGGCUGCCCACUCUCUCCCUACUUAUUCAAUAUAGUUCUUGAAGUUCUAGCCAGAGCAAUCAGACAACAAAAGGAGAUCAAAGGGAUACAGAUCGGAAAAGAAGAGGUCAAAAUAUCACUAUUUGCAGAUGAUAUGAUAGUACAUUUAAGUGAUCCCAAAAGUUCCACCAGAGAACUACUAAAGCUGAUAAACAACUUCAGCAAAGUGGCUGGGUAUAAAAUUAACUCAAAUAAAUCAGUUGCCUUCCUCUAUACAAAAGAGAAACAAGCCGAGAAAGAAAUUAGGGAAACGACACCCUUCAUAAUAGACCCAAAUAAUAUAAAGUACCUCGGUGUGACUUUAACCAAGCAAGUAAAAGAUCUGUACAAUAAGAACUUCAAGACACUGAGGAAAGAAAUUGAAGAAGACCUCAGAAGAUGGAAAGAUCUCCCAUGCUCAUGGAUUGGCAGGAUUAAUAUAGUAAAAAUGGCCAUUUUACCAAAAGCAAUCUACAGAUUCAAUGCAAUCCCCAUCAAAAUACCAAUCCAAUUCUUCAAAGAGUUAGACAGAACAAUUUGCAAAUUCAUCUGGAAUAACAAAAAACCCAGGAUAGCUAAAGCUAUCCUCAACAAUAAAAGGACUUCAGGGGGAAUCACUAUCCCUGAACUCAAGCAGUAUUACAGAGCAAUAGUGAUAAAAACUGCAUGGUAUUGGUACAGAGACAGACAGAUAGACCAAUGGAAUAGAAUUGAAGACCCAGAAAUGAACCCACACACCUAUGGUCACUUGAUUUUUGACAAAGGAGCCAAAACCAUCCAAUGGAAAAAAGAUAGCAUUUUCAGCAAAUGGUGCUGGUUCAACUGGAGGGCAACAUGUAGAAGAAUGCAGAUCGAUCCAUGCUUAUCACCCUGUACAAAGCUUAAGCUGGAUUC